rnacentral:lncRNA from 1 species
GCAACAUGAGGCAGCUCAUAUGGCGGACCUUACCAAACGAAGGCGUCUAGCCUGGAUAGCCGCCGUGAGACGAGCUGAUAUCCAGUUCGCUUCCAUCUCCAGAUAUCACGUAACUUACCGGACAUUUUCAUUCCGGAGUGUGUCCGUAAGGCGUAUCCAGUCACUGGAUCCUCUGAUAUAUUUUCACAGAGGACCAGGUGCUGCUGCUACGGAGAGGAGUGUGUCCGUAAGGCGUGUCCAGUCACUGGAUCCUAUGAUAUAUUUUCACAGAGGAUCAGCAGCUGCUGCUACGGAGAGGAUCUUUCAAGGACCAAGUUCUGAUGGAUCUCCACCCAGCUGA